rnacentral:rRNA from 1 species
UCCUACGGGAGGCAGCAGUGAGGAAUAUUGGUCAAUGGAGGCAACUCUGAACCAGCCAUGCCGCGUGAAGGAUGACGGCCCUAUGGGUUGUAAACUUCUUUUAUAUGGGAAGAAACUUAUCUACGUGUAGAUAACUGACGGUACCAUACGAAUAAGGAUCGGCUAACUCCGUGCCAGCAGCCGCGGUAAUACGGAGGAUCCAAGCGUUAUCCUGAUUCAUUGGGUUUAAAGGGUCCGUAGGCGGAUUUUUAAGUCAGUGGUGAAAGCCGGCAGCUCAACUGUCGAACUGCCAUUGAUACUGGAAAUCUUGAGUACAAAUGAAGUAGGCGGAAUGAGUCAUGUAGCGGUGAAAUGCAUAGAUAUGACUCAGAACACCGAUUGCGAAGGCAGCUUACUAACAUGUAACUGACGCUGAGGGACGAAAGCGUGGGGAGCGAACAGGAUUAGAUACCCUGGUAGUCCACGCCGUAAACGAUCAUCACUCGCUGUUGGCGAUAUACCGUCAGCGGCCAAGCGAAAGUA